rnacentral:rRNA from 1 species
UGCGUAGGCGGCGCGGAAAGUUGGGUGUGAAAUCCCUCGGCUCAACCGAGGAACUGCGCCCAAUACUACCGUGCUCGAGGGAGAUAGAGGUGAGCGGAACUUAGGGUGGAGCGGUGAAAUGCGUUGAUAUCCUAAGGAACACCGGUGGCGAAAGCGGCUCACUGGAUCUCUUCUGACGCUGAGGCACGAAAGCUAGGGUAGCGAACG